AAACUGGAAAGAAGACGAAUAUGACGGCUUGCUGUGAGUUACAAUGGAACAGAUUAUGUUUAUCUGCUGUAGAGUGACUGAUGAAGGAAUGCUGCCAUCAAAGGAUUUGUAUCUUUUGUGGUGGAGCAGGACCUGCAAGGAAAGGGGAAAAAAGGAAAUACCUGAAACAAAAGAAUAAAGGAAUGACUUUUUG